UAGAUAAGAUGAGUUUGUUCUCUUUUCAAUGGAGCCAAAUGAAAUCUAAAAUACCAUUUUAAACAUUUUAAUCAAAGCAUCUAGUUAAGAAGAUUGCCCCUAGGAUUCCCACACUCAUACACGCACUGGUUAGUUGUAAUGAUCGCCAGGUUGGUGAAGAAAUGUUUUCAUUUCGUGGAAGUUUAUUUAGUGUUAAAAUAAUUCGUGCUAAAAAGCUGUCAUCAAAGUAUCCUAUGUUCUAAUUAGCUGACUUAUACAUGUCUUUAAGCAAAUAAAAUUUUAUAAUGAAGUU